rnacentral:rRNA from 1 species
GUGCCAGCCGCCGCGGUAACACCGGCAGCCCGAGUGAUGGCCGAUAUUAUUGGGCCUAAAGCGUCCGUAGCUGGCCGCGCAAGUUCGUCGGGAAAUCCACUCGCUUAACGAGUGGGCGUCCGGCGAAAACUGUGCGGCUUGGGACCGGAAGAUCCAAGGGGUACGUCCGGGGUAGGAGUGAAAUCCUGUAAUCCUGGACGGACCACCGAUGGCGAAAGCACCUUGGAAGGACGGAUCCGACAGUGAGGGACGAAAGCUAGGGUCUCGAACCGGAUUAGAUACCCGGGUAGUCC